AGCCAGACUCCUACGGGAGGCAGCAGUGGGGAAUAUUGCACAAUGGGGGAAACCCUGAUGCAGCGACGCCGCGUGAGUGAAGAAGUAUUUCGGUAUGUAAAGCUCUAUCAGCAGGGAAGAAGAAGGACGGUACCUGAGUAAGAAGCCCCGGCUAACUACGUGCCAGCAGCCGCGGUAAUACGUAGGGGGCAAGCGUUAUCCGGAUUUACUGGGUGUAAAGGGAGCGUAGACGGCAGUGCAAGUCUGGAGUGAAAGGCGGGGGCUCAACCCCCGGACUGCUCUGGAAACUGUACGGCUGGAGUGCAGGAGAGGUAAGUGGAAUUCCUAGUGUAGCGGUGAAAUGCGUAGAUAUUAGGAGGAACACCAGUGGCGAAGGCGGCCUGCUGGGCUUUUACUGACGCUGAGGCUCGAAAGUGUGGGGAGCAAACAGGAUUAGAUACCCUUGUA
rnacentral:rRNA from 1 species